GGAUCCAUAAGCUCAAAUUUGGGAGAGCGCUCAGCCGCCUUGGCGCGUUGAGAGGUUGGUGGUUCGAGUCCGCCUGGGUCCA